AAGUCCCCUGUGAUAUCCAUGUGUUCUCUGGACACCUCGGCCAUGAGCUCUGCCUGCGUUGCAUUCUGCAGGAGAUAGUGCUGUCUCCAGAAACCAUGGAUAGGCCAGUGCUUGAAAUCACAACUGGAGUGAAAUGAGGUCCCUGUGGCACACGCUUGCACUGGUACUUGCUCUUCUCUGCAGGAGUCUCAACUUGAGCAGAAGCCAUGAGCAGAUCUUCCUCAACCCUUAAUAGCCACAUCUCUGGUCUAAAACUUUGAAUGCAGUCUUAAAACUAAGGGCAGAGCUGAAGGCCUGUGCUGACUGAAGGCUUCUCCUGGUGUUCUGCCCAGGGACCUGGUCCUUCGCACUCCUGUAGAUAUGAAGCCUCCAAAUGCUCCGGUGUGUGCUCUGACAGCAAGGGAGGUGCAGAAGACAUUUUCCGACCAAAACAUCUUCAACUGUUUUUUGGCUUCAAGUUGUCAAAAGAUUUGGAGUAUUAGAUACCAAUCCUCAAGCCUGAAAGUUAAUUUUCUCCAGAUCUCUGAGCAUCCACCAAACCACACCAUUUCAAAGGUGUACAUUGCAAAGCAAAGCCUGCUUUCAGUUCUGAAGGCACAGCGUCAAGUCCUGGUGCUUCACAAGGAGCCACGGCCAAGUGUGUACGGGGACAGUUGGCAGCAAAUACGUGGUAGAUCUGAGUUUUCCUGUGACGUGCCAACGCCCUGGUUGUAUCUCUGUGUGGUGCCUGCCUCCCGGCUGGCUGAUGGGCUGAGACGUGAGCGAGGGGUCUCCUUCCCUAGCACGGGGGUUGGACAGAAGCAGGCAGGAGGGCUGGUGUGAGGAAGCAGGUGAAGAGCUGGGUUUCUGGCUGCCCACGCAGCUCCAGCCUGACAAAACAUUGGCAGGAGUGACCCCAGAGCAUCCGGCGGUGAUCAGAUGGAGGCGGCGGUUCCCUUAAUGCACGUUUUUCCAAACCACCUUUCCCUUGUGCUGCAUUAUCACA
rnacentral:lncRNA from 1 species